rnacentral:rRNA from 1 species
AUUGAACGCUGGCGGCAGGCCUAACACAUGCAAGUCGAACGGUAACAGGAAGCAGCUUGCUGCUUUGCUGACGAGUGGCGGACGGGUGAGUAAUGUCUGGGAAACUGCCUGAUGGAGGGGGAUAACUACUGGAAACGGUAGCUAAUACCGCAUAACGUCGCAAGACCAAAGAGGGGGACCUUAGGGCCUCUUGCCAUCGGAUGUGCCCAGAUGGGAUUAGCUAGUAGGUGGGGUAACGGCUCACCUAGGCGACGAUCCCUAGCUGGUCUGAGAGGAUGACCAACCACACGGGAACUGAGACACGGUCCAGACUCCUACGGGAGGCAGCAGUGGGGAAUAUUGCACAAUGGGCGCAAGCCUGAUGCAGCCAUGCCGGGUGUAUGAAGAAGGCCUUAUGGUUGUAAAGUACUUUCAGCGGGGAGGAAGGGAGUAAAGUUAAUACCUUUGCUCAUUGACGUUACCCGCAGAAGAAGCACCGGCUAACUCCGUG